UCAUGAUUUAACAAAUAUUUAUUGAAUACCUACUAUGUCUGAGGCACUGUGUACAAUGAAGAAUAAUACAAACACAUUGUACUCCCCUAGAGCUACAGGUUAGCUCUGGGCACAGUAAUACAUUAUUACAUAAAAUAAUGAGACUGAUUUUCUUGGGUGGCUUAUGAAACCUAAUCCCAUUUUAUGUGAGCAUUUGGAUUUUGUUCAGUGCUCUUGACAUCUUCAUAAACCACCUGAUCAUGCAUUAUAUAGAGACAUUGUUUAUCCUUUUUUCACGUGGUCCAUCGAGCAAAAACUUGACUAGAACUAGUUGGGGUCAAACAAAAUUUAAUUUUGAAGCAAACAAUGGGAUAGUAAUUGGGUGUUUCAGGUUUUGCCCUAUGGGAAACAGCUGUUGUUUUUUGCCUGCCAGCAUAGCUUCUUUUGGUAACAGCACCCUGAUUUCACUUUGGGGAAUCUUCUUGCUCACCUUUGCAAGCCUUGUAGAGAAAGUGCAGGAUUGACUCACCUAGCUCCUAGCUCCAGGAGAGGGCACGCAGUCUCUGCAUCUGCUUGGUUGUAACAGUUGAUUCAGGUAUAGACACGUGAGUCACACAGGGCCUAUGGAAAGCCUCUACAGGACUUUUUCCCCACAGUAAUGGUGAAAGAAUAAGCCCUUUCACUGGGUUUGCAGGCUGGGAAGAACCUACUUAAGAAAAUGACUGGCUGGACGUGGUGGUUCAUGCCUGUAAUCCCACUUUGGGAGACCGAGGCAGGCAGAUCACUAGAGGCCAGGAGUUUGAGACCAGCCUGGCCAACAUAGUGAAACCUGGUCUCUACUAAAAAAUACAAAAAUUAGCUGGGCAUGGUGGUGCAUACUUGUAAUCCGAGCUAUUAGGUUGGUGCAAAAGUAACUGCAGUACUUGGGAGGCUGAGGCACGAGAAUCGCUUGAAUGCAGGAGGCAGAGGUUGCAGUGAACUGUGAUUGUGCCACUGCACUCCAGCCUGAGUGACAGCGCGAGACUCUGUCUCAUUCAAAAAAAAAGAAGAGAAAAGAAGAGAAAAAAGAGACAGCCUUGGCUGCAACUAUUAAGGAAAACUAAUUAAAUAAGUUUUUAAAAAAGAAAAAAAAAAGAAUAUGGCCAAUACGAGGGAAAGCAGAGACCAAUACCAUGAGAGAUUCCUGACAUCACUUGGGUGACUGUAUUUAGGUUUGUUUUUUUCAGUUCUAUGAGGCUGAAAAAGGGGGAGAGAUUCAUUGAUCUGUAUAGUUCUGUUUUUCAUCAGCUAGUUUGAGUUGGGUUUCUGUCACCAGCAGCUGGGUGAACUUGUUCAUUCAGCUGUACUAAACACAUCCCUAAUCAAGAAAACCUAAUCAUAAGAUGAUGAACUGGUUGCCUUUUCACGCAUUUAUUUCUUUGACAUUUAUUUAUUGAACAUGUAGUUAACUGGUCAUAGGACAAAACCUGCAUGAAAAACUGGGCAUUGUUCAGGGUGAUCUCCGUGAGGGGCCUGGAGUUCUGAGGCCACUGAAGCUUACCUAGUUCCACAUGCAGCUGAAACAGAAUCCUAAUCCCCUUUUAAAUAGUGGCAGAUCCCUUCAAAGCAUCCAGGUUUUUUUUCUUGCUCCCUCUCUGGAGUAAGGAAGGACACAGUUUGAAAUUCAAGCUAGACUACAAAGAUCGUGGAAGAAUGACUAUGACUAUUUCUUUAACUCUGUUGCUGUAGAAGAAUCCGUGUUUUCUUUCAAACCCAUUAUGGAAGCCUGAAAGAAACAAGGUCUUCCUGGCCUGUUAAUAACUUUGUGCUACCUAAGACACAGAUGAAUUUCUUUAAUCCCAAAUUUAGAAGUUCCAGUAUCAACCAUGCAAAUAAAACACCUGAUCAUGGUUGCUUUGAGAAAGGAGAGUUUUAAGCAGUGGGGCUGCAGCACCAACAAAAAUCAGUCCCUGUACUUCAUGAGUUCCCUGCCAAGAGCCCCCUUUAUUAAUGAACAAGCCCUGGGAAUGGGGCCUCUAUUUUUUUCACAAAAUACACCAAAUAAUGUGACUAACAGGAGACUUGGGGGAUAGAAAGGUAUUCUGAUGCCCACAAGCAUGGUGCCGCAAUGUCACAUUCUUGUCAUUUUUACUGCCCCUCUCUCGUCUGCUACUAUGUUUAGACCCUCCAGAAGAAAAAUGCAGUUUCAUUUUUCAUAUCUAAACCCCAUACUUUCUGUUCCAUGCCUUCCUCAAGUAAAGUGGCCCUUUUCAUCACACAUUCACAAUCAUGCACAUAUUCACAAAGUACUUGCCCAGAUAGUGCAUGUGUAUAAACAACCCAAAGACAUAUAUAAAUAAAACCAAGUAUUGUUUAGGGGUAGACUUCUCUGUCAAUAAAUGGAUGGUAGCUAGAUUGAUAGCAAGCUAGCCAGCUAGAUAGAUAGACAGACAAGUUUAUAGAUCUCAAAAUAAUUGACACACACAUCUCCCAAAUUCUGCUAAUAUCCAAAGUUUAUCAUUUUUCAGCAGGAGUGUAUG
rnacentral:lncRNA from 10 species